GUAUAACACCCUCACGGCCGGGCAUCUUGCAUCGGUAUGUCUACUCUAACCGUGCUUUCAAAAGCAAGCGAGUCACGUGCCAAACUUUUUCCUCGCCCUGUGUUCCUGCUCUAAGCUUACAAAUGAAGCUUGCUGGCUGUCUUUCAGUAUUGGCCGAAGACAUU
rnacentral:lncRNA from 1 species